rnacentral:ncRNA from 1 species
AUGGGAGAAGCUUAGAUGUUCUUGGAACUCUGUCCCAGCCUCAGUAAAUUUCGACAGGAUGUCGAAAUAGAUGCAACGGAGCCAUGGAGGGCGACUUUGCAUCGGUUGCGUACGAUUGAAAUAUAAAUAUACAGAGUUACUAGAACAUCUUAGCUUCGUAC